AGAGUUUGAUCCUGGCUCAGAAUGAACGCUGGCGGCGUGCUUAACACAUGCAAGUCGUACGAGAAAUCUCCUGCUUGCAGGAGAGAGUAAAGUGGCGAACGGGUGAGUAACGCGUGGGUAAUCUACCUCCGAAUCUGGGAUAACAUUGCGAAAGCGAUGCUAAUACCGGAUGGUAUCUUGCGACUAACGUUGUCGAGAUUAAAGGUGGCCUCUACAAGUAAGCUACCGUUUGGAGAUGAGCCCGCGUGCCAUUAGCUUGUUGGUAGGAUAACGGCCUACCAAGGCGACCAUGGCUAGCUGAUCUGAGAGGAUGAUCAGCCACACUGGAACUGAGACACGGUCCAGACUCCUACGGGAGGCAGCAGUGAGGAAUCUUGCGCAAUGGGGGAAACCCUGACGCAGCAACGCCGUGUGAGUGAUGAAGGCUUUCGAGUCGUAAAGCUCUGUCAAGUGGGAAGAACCUGUCGGAUGUUAAUACCAUCAGGCACUGACGUACCACUGGAGAAGCACCGCUAACU
rnacentral:rRNA from 1 species